rnacentral:rRNA from 1 species
CCUACGGGAGGCAGCAGUGAGGAAUAUUGGUCAAUGGGCGGAAGCCUGAACCAGCCAAGUAGCGUGCAGGAUGACGGCCCUACGGGUUGUAAACUGCUUUUAUACGGGAAUAACGCGCCUUACGUGUAGGGCUUUGCAUGUACCGUAUGAAUAAGGACCGGCUAAUUCCGUGCCAGCAGCCGCGGUAAUACGGAAGGUCCGGGCGUUAUCCGGAUUUAUUGGGUUUAAAGGGAGCGUAGGCGGAGGUGCAAGUCAGCGGUCAAAUUGCGGGGCUCAACCCCGUACUGCCGUUGAAACUGCAUCCCUUGAGUGCGCGAGAAGUAUGCGGAAUGCGUGGUGUAGCGGUGAAAUGCUGAGAUAUGACGAAGAACCCCGAUUGCGAAGGCAGCUUGCUGCAGCGGAACUGACGCUGAUGCUCGAAAGCGCGGGUAUCGAACAGGAUUAGAUACCCUUGUAGUC